rnacentral:sRNA from 1 species
ACAAGAUGUUAUGUGUUUGAUUGAGUAUAAGAACUAGAACCGCAACAGCUUCUCAAAAGCUAAAGUUGUGUUUCCCU